UAUCAUCACAAUUAUAACCUUAACCGUUAUAUUUUCACGUGAAGUCUAAUGUAAACAAACAGAUCCAAGAUGAUUAAUGUGUUUUUAUUGUUUGUGCCACUCAUAAAAUCGUGAUAAAGUAAAUUUCAUUUAGUUUUGUAAGAAAAUUGUGGAUCUUAAUCAAAUAAAAAGAAUUUGUGUUCGUGACGAUUCGAAAUUAGCUUUUACCAAUUAAGCUGUGGCAUUUUGUUAGCAACACAUUCACUUGAACAUUUUAAAUCAUUUAUUUUCUUGAGAAAACUGUUUUAGAUUAUGUUGCGUGAAAACAAUACAUUCUUUGUUAUUGCAUCACUUAAAAGAAACUGAGAAAUUUAUUCAUUGUAUAUGAGGAUGUAGUUAUGGCACAGUGCAACCAUGAAGUUUCGUCAGAGAUUAGCCUGGAUUAUUUUAUUUUUAUACCUUCUACUGUCACUUUUGGCUAUUUAUUAUUAUUUUGAAAUUAGUGAUCAAUAUAACACUCUUGCACUUGAACAUAAUAAAGUUCACCAUUCAUCCAUAGGCUUGAAAAGUGGUAGUUCUCAUUGGAUUUCUUUGUGGAAGCAUUUGCCAGAUGUACCCUUCACUUUGUGGUUAUUUAUUUUUGCUUUAUUUUAUUUUCAAAUAUUUUUCUGCAUUUAUGUUUGUACUCAACCAGAUCCCAAAGAAAUAUUAUAUUCAUUGCCAUGCAUGCUUUGUGCCAAAAAGAUAUCUAAACAUGAUAAAGUGUUAUUGUCUCCUAUUUAGGUGAUGUAGAGUUUGUAUAUAUUAUGUGUUUCUAUUGAAACAUAUUCUCAUUUAUAAUUAUUUGGAUAUUAACCAUUUGUUUACUGUGCUUAGCCUGGUGAAGUCUGUCAUUCUGGUCAACUUGUUGUACCAGUUGUAAUCAGAAGGUUAAAAUUCUAAAAAUCUAUACACUAAAUUGCUAGUAUGUUUUGUAGAUUAUUUUUUAUUUCAAUUGUUUUAUGAAGUGAAAUUUAUAUUACAAAUUUAUGUGUUCUCUAUGUUUUAGAUCUGAAAUGAAGUUAUUUUUCUAAUUCUUAAUUGGGAACAAAUGAAUAUUAACUAACUGUGUAUUGAUCUUUUCAAAAAUACAUGUCCUUUAUUUAAAAAAUGCUUAUUUGAUUUAAAUAAGAAGAGACUAUUUUUAUGCUUCUAACUGUUGCUUAUUAACAGGAGUAUGUGACAGUAAAAAAUAUUACUUGGUAACAAUGAUUAUCUGUUGGUUAAUCAUUUAAUUUCUUUUCUUGAUUCUUUAACUGAAUUUAUGUAUAUAUUUUUCCUUUUUACAUUCAAUACAAAUAUUUAUAGCACAUUCUGAUUUAUUUCUUUAUAAUUAUAUCUGGACUUUUUACUAACUAGUAUCUAUAUCAGCUUUGUUGUUUCUGAUUUAAGAAUGUAUAAUCAUGCAAGAGUAACAUAAGAUUUCUCAUUGUGGUGACAGAGCAUUAUAUUGUAUACUUUCAAGGGUCUGGUAUAAAGGUGAUUAGGUUUGUUUCAAGUAUACUUUUCAGAAUAUCAUCUAACAGUUUUGACUUUAUUUUACCAAUAUUAAAUUGAUUAACUAACUUUCAAUGUUUAAAUAUUAAUGAGAUACAAUUGCUUCAAAAUAAAUGAACUGCAUUAUUAUUUAUUAAUUUAUAUCUAUUUUACAGUUUCAAUUAAUUGUCUAAAUAGUUUUGAUUAAUUACAUAAAAUAAUCAAAUUCAAUUAUCAUGAUGAAAUUGCUUAUUCCAACUUAUUAAUCAAGAAAAUUUGCUGUGUGAUAUGUAUCAUAUUCUCUUGAUGAAAAAUCCUAGUCGAUGUAAAUAUCAAUCAUUCUUGUAACUUUCCUCCAUGAGGAAAAUAAAUGUGAUCUCUAAAAUAUAUGUAUAAAAUUGUUAACAAUUUUAUAUUUAAGCAACAUAUCAAAAAAUAUAUUGUGGUUGUUAAACAUGUAUUUGCUUGUGCAUUUAUUUUUUAACUGUAUGAUACAUUUUACAAAUUCUAUAUAAUUAUCGAAUUUGUAGUUUUUUUAAAUUGCAUUUUAAGUACUAAUAUUAUUGCAUUCCAAAUUAUGUUGCCAAAAUGCUUUUCAAAAUUUGUUACAUUCUUCUUCUUUGAUUCAAAAAUGGCUCUUAAUUUUAAAAUCUAAUUUAUAGUAAAUAUUGUUAUAUUGACUAUUAAAACCAAACUAUUUAAAAUUAUGAACAUUUAAUAACUUUUAAGUGACAUAUGUACUUAUUUAUUGACAAAUUAUUGCAAAAAUGUUCAAAAAGGUUCUCUAAGAAUAAGUGUAUUAUUACUGUAGAAUUAUUGUACCCAUUGCUUAAUAAGUUUUACUCUUUGUAAAUUUUAUGAAAGAUCUCGAAGGUUUAUUAUAUUGCCAAUUGACUAUUUGUUUCUGAAAGUAAUUGUAUAGGAUAUAUUUUAUAAUACAGGUGAAUUCAGUCUGUAUAUCUUAGUUAUUUUUGAUCAGAUUCUCAUAUAGGCUUUUAGUUCUAUCUCAAAUUUUUCUUUAAAAAAAUAUCUCAUGCAAUAAAAUUUUUAAAAUUAGUUAGUUACAAGUUUCACUGAUAUCAAAUUAGUAGUAUAAUUUAAUAAAGGAGUGUGGUGUACACAGGCUAGAAAAUGUAGUUACAGAAUUGAUACUUAAAAAGUUGGAAAUGAAAUAGGAUCUCGUAUGCAUCAGUCAAAUGUUCAAAAAUUUUGUUUUGUGUGGCUUUCAUUGCACUACAAAGAUUUAUUUUCACUUUUUACUCUAAAUAAUGAUCAUAUAUAUCCCUACUGCCAUUUUAUGUUUUAUGGGAGAUAGAAAUUGUUGAUACUAAAAGUAAAUAAAGAAUCUCGGCAAUAAAAUGUAGCAUUUUUUAUAUGAAAUAACUUGUAUGAUUACAAAUCUCUAUUAAAUUUAUACUAUGCAAAACUACUUAUGUAAUUAAAUAAAAUUAAUUUUUUUUAAAAAAAUUAAAGCGAAAGAUGGAGAAAAAAAGAAUUUUAAAUUGAAUGUAUUAACUAUCAUUUAUUGAAUGUAUUACUUUUAAAAACAUUUUUAUUUAUCUGUCAUUACAACAGGGGUGUGAUAAUCAGGGAAUACAUUAAGUACUUUUUUCAUUACCAUUAUCAUUUCUGUUUAAAUGACUAAAAGUAAAUGUUUUGAUAUUGUUAAGUAUAAUAUAAUAAAGUUGUUUUUAUUGUGAAUUUGUUGAAAUUAGGCAAGGGAAGGAAAGUAAGUUCCAAAGCAACAUGUACUAUAUAAUCUCUAGAUUUUCAAAUUUAUAUCUAUUAAACAUUGCAGCAGGUUAUUUUUGAGGAUUAUAUAAUUAUACUACAAUACAAACAAUAGAAUUUUCAUCUCUUUGACAACCUAAAACAAAGAUGAAAUACUCAUGAGGUCUGGUGAGAAAAGCUAGCUAGUGCCUCAACUCCUUAGUAUUUUAAAAACAAUUAAAAGCUUUUUAUAUGAUAAAAUUAACAACUUUUUAUUUAAUAUUUGUUAGUUUUUAUUAUUUAUUCUCUUUGUUCAACACACAUUAUAAAAUACAAAAACUUGCAUAUCGCAAUAAAUGAAUAUAAAAAUGUUCAUCUUAUGAUUUCUAAUUAAAUGUUAUUUUUCAAAUAAGAAAGCCCACCAUAUGCCAAAAUAGUUAAUAAAUUUAUUAUAUAUUUUACAUAAAAUAAAUUCUAACCAAAAAUAUUUUACAAAAUUAUACUAAAAUUUGUGUAAAAAAUAUUCAGAUUUUAUUUAUCAACUUGUGGUUGAGUACAUUUAGGACCUCAUUUUUUUUUAUAUCAUUAUAAUUUUAUAUACAAAGGAUAUAUUAUAGGAAGAAAACAUCGCAGACAAAAAAUACUUACAUAUUGAAAUUAUUAUUAUUAUUUUGCAUGAGUAAAACUUAAGAACACUUGGUGUAUAAUAAACUUUCUGUGCUCUUUUCAAAUUUUUGUUAAUUAUUUGUUGUUACACUAUUAUUACAUUAUUGUUAUUAAAAAAAUUGAAAAACAUGUUGUAUAUAUUUUAUUAAGUUGUCAAUUUAUGAAUGAAUGUUCAGUAAAUCCUAUUCCUUAUUUAUGGAUGCAUUUUAACAGUUAAAGGAUCAGUCCCAGAUUUUAAAAUAUUUUGUAUGAAUUGUAUUAAUAAAUUGCUAAAUAUUUAAAUUUUGUUGAAUAUUUAGUUAGUGAGCAAUUAUUACAAAAUUGUUCAUUUGUGCAGUUCUUAGCAUGAUACAUAAUAUACAUUGCAAUUUGGUAUUUGAAAAUAUUGAAGUUCCAACAAUAUUAAUAAGAAUCGGACAAAAUUUGAAUUUUCUGAAAAUAUAUUAUUUAUAUUAAAUAAAUAAAAAAUACAUCAGAAACAAAACAUUAAUUCCCUAAAGGAUUAUGUUUAAUUUUAAACAAAAUGGAUCAUUUUUUCAUGUAAUUCCAAUAAAAAGUAAAGCUUAAUAUUAUUUAUAAUUUUCAAAGAUUUAUAAAAUCAGUUAUACAGGGCAUAUUAAAAUUUAUGUAUCCUUAAAUCUUUUGCUAAUCUCUCACAUGAAUUCAACUCAUAAAAUUACCAUAAUAUGAAUUAUUAAAAUAAUGUAUAUGCAUGAAUAUUUUUAUUAUGUUUACUUUCGUUUCAAAGAAAUUUUCUUUUGCUCAAUUAUCAUAUAACGCAAGUAUGUAAUUGGUGAUACAUUUUUGUUUUUAAUAAAAAAUUUUGUAAACA